CAGCAGCCGCGGGAACACGUAGGGUGCGAGCGUUAAUCGGAAUUACUGGGCGUAAAGCGUGCGCAGGCGGUUUCGUAAGACAGGCGUGAAAUCCCCGGGCUCAACCUGGGAAUGGCGCUUGUGACUGCAAAGCUAGAGUGCGGCAGAGGGGGAUGGAAUUCCGCGUGUAGCAGUGAAAUGCGUAGAUAUGCGGAGGAACACCGAUGGCGAAGGCAAUCCCCUGGGCCUGCACUGACGCUCAUGCACGAAAGCGUGGGGAGCAAACAGGAUUAGAUACCCCCGUAGUCCCUGUCUCUUAUAA
rnacentral:rRNA from 1 species